CAAUUCAGAGCUUGAUAAGUUAAGCAUCUCAUUUACACUGAGAAGUUACUGUGCAAUUCAGUUUGACUUGA
rnacentral:tRNA from 1 species